rnacentral:rRNA from 1 species
AGAGUUUGAUCAUGGCUCAGAACGAACGCUGGCGGCGUGGAUAAGACAUGCAAGUCGAGCGAGAUUUUUUCUUGUAGCAAUACAGGGAAAAGUCUAGCGGCGAACGGGUGCUUAACACGUGGGCAACCUGCCGUGAAGUGGGGGAUAGCUCGCCGAAAGGCGAAUUAAUACCGCAUGUGAUUAGAGAGGACAUCCUUUCGAAAUUAAAGUCGGGGCAACCUGACGCUUCUUGUGGGGCCCGCGGCCUAUCAGCUAGUUGGUGAGGUAACGGCUCACCAAGGCUUUGACGGGUAGCUGGUCUGAGAGGACGACCAGCCACACUGGGACUGAGACACGGCCCAGACACCUACGGGUGGCAGCAGUCGAGAAUUUUUGACAAUGGGGGAAACCCUGAUCGAGCGACGCCGCGUGGAGGAUGAAGGUCUUCGGAUUGUAAACUCCUGUCAUUGGGGAACAAGGUGCAUACGUUAACUGCGUGUGUAUUGAUAGUACCCGAAGAGGAAGGGACGGCUAACUCUGUGCCAGCAGCCGCGGUAAUACAGAGGUCCCAAGCGUUGUUCGGAUUCAUUGGGCGUAAAGGGUGCGUAGGCGGCGCGGUAAGUCGGGUGUGAAAUCUCGGAGCUUAACUCCGAAACUGCAUUCGAUACUGCCGUGCUUGAGGACUGGAGAGGAGACUGGAAUUUACGGUGUAGCGGUGAAAUGCGUAGAUAUCGUAAGGAAGACCAGUGGCGAAGGCGGGUCUCUGGACAGUUCCUGACGCUGAGGCACGAAGGCCAGGGAGCAAACGGGAUUAGAUACCCUAGUAGUCC